GAUGAACGCUGGCGGCGUGCUUAACACAUGCAAGUCGAACGAAGCACCUUGAUUCGAUUCUUCGGAUGAAGAUCUUGGUGACUGAGUGGCGGACGGGUGAGUAACGCGUGGGUAACCUGCCUCAUACAGGGGGAUAACAGUUAGAAAUGACUGCUAAUACCGCAUAAGACCACAGCACCGCAUGGUGCAGGGGUAAAAACUCCGGUGGUAUGAGAUGGACCUGCGUCUGAUUAGGUAGUUGGUGGGGUAACGGCCUACCAAGCCGACGAUCAGUAGCCGACCUGAGAGGGUGACCGGCCACAUUGGGACUGAGACACGGCCCAAACUCCUACGGGAGGCAGCAGUGGGGAAUAUUGCACAAUGGGGGAAACCCUGAUGCAGCGACGCCGCGUGAGCGAUGAAGUAUUUCGGUAUGUAAAGCUCUAUCAGCAGGGAAGAAAAUGACGGUACCUGACUAAGAAGCACCGGCUAAAUACGUGCCAGCAGCCGCCGUAA
rnacentral:rRNA from 1 species